GUUGCUGAUUGGCUGGAAUUGGUCUGAGCCACUUUGUUUAUAACCCAUUUACAGAAUCAGGGCGGUGUAGGAACACCGGAUUCAGCACAUUUACUCUAACUUUACUUGCCCUCUUCACACCCCAUCACUACACACAUUGGAAGUAAAGUUAAUACACAGGGUUUUAGAUUACAAGACUCUUCAGGUUUCAAAAAUUAUGUAUAAGAGUUAAAGUGGUUCAAGUGAGAUCUUUCUCCGUAAAUCUUUAUCCCCCAAAACACGGAAACUCAAACUUGACUUCCCUUGAUCUUUGUUUUGUAGUGGUUACUUACUGAAAGGGGACACAUUAUGCUUUUUUGAUUUUCUCUCACUUAUUUUCUGUUGUUUUGUUGGACGUCCAAGUUAAAGCGCCAAAGUCUCAAGACCUGAGGUGAACAUAUGUUAAAAUGCUACCUGUAACACAGACGGUUUCAGUUGUCUGUGAAUGCUUCCUUCCAAUGCUUUAUUUCUACAUUCCCAACACUGACGUAUGAACAUCAUGGAAGUCCAUGAACCGAACGCCGCUCUGGGCCUCAACUCCGGGUUCAGCACACCCCAGCAUCAGAGCAUGCAAGCAAAUUACAGGCUGCAGGGACUGUUACGUCACCGACCACAAUGUCAAGAAGAAAGUGUUUCCGUUAUUGCUGCAGUGGAGGGAAGGCAACAUCAGAUACCAGUGGAUAUCAUUUGUAUUUUUUGGACCCCUUACAGCAGUACAACUCUUGUAUUUCUGUCUGGACUUUGCAUUUCACGAGACGACCGGGUUCAGCAACAACCGCCUGCUGGCUAGCCAUUCCAUGAUUGUCGGUUAUGCUGGUACUGAUGGAAAAGCAGCUCCAACUUUAUUGGGCCAGCGUGUUGAUUCAGGACUCGAAACUUGCAUCAGAGCAGAACCAGUGAGUACACUGGUGUCCAUGAGAGGAGAGAAAGAAAAUAUCAAAAGAUUAUCUGUGUGACCCGAUGACACUAAUGUUCCUGGACCCACCAGACUUUCCUCAGAGCACAAGAGACAAGUUAUUGCUGGGUGGGUGGGACAACACAGUGAUAUCUGGAAGGUCUUGGGACAUCCACAGGAAGACACGCCAGGAUGACUAGUCUGACUCUCUGCUCUGGGAGCUCCUGCACCAGCUGACACAACUGCAAUAUAAAAGCAGCGUAGAAGAAACCCUCCAACCACAUGGAGGACUGGGGCUUGACAGAGCUGCAGCAGGAGCCCUGAGGCCGGUCCAUUCAUCGUGCUCGAUGCAUCAUGGCACCCAUCACAGUCAAUCAUAGUGGUGUUGUUAAGCCUCCAGCAUCCAAUUAGAGGAGAUUACACUCUAAGAGUCUUACAAUGACCAUGCAGGUCCUCACCAUGUGUUUCCUUCUCAUACAUGGAUCACAGGAGCUGGCACUGAUACCAAUUCAUGUUCAAAUCACCACAACCUUUUACCUGCAUGGCAUAUGUUGCUGUGUAAAGGGGAUUUAAGCUGGCUGUUUGAAGACAUACUGUAUAUUAAGAGUUUGUGGCUUGUACCAGCUAAAACAGUCAUUUUAACUGUACCACUUAUUUGCAGCUGCAAGCAGCAAUAACAUGACUGCAGGCAAUAUAUAAUUACAUAUAUAUAUAUAGAUAUAUAUAUAAUAUGUAUAAUUUUUGCUCAAAAUUGAUUGUUAGAGAGCUAAAUCUGAAACAA